CCAAGGAGUCUAACAUGUGCGCGAGUCAUUGGGACGUCGAAGCCUAAAGGCGCAAUGAAAGUGAAGGCCGUGUCUCGGUCACGGCCGAGGGAGGAUGGGUUUUGGGGCGGCCGGCUCGUCCGGUCGCUCCGGCCUCGCACUCCCGGGGCGUCUCGGCCUCAUUGCGAGGCGAGGCGCACCCAGAGCGUACACGUUGGGACCCGAAAGAUGGUGAACUAUGCCUGGUCAGGACGAAGUCAGGGGAAACCCUGAUGGAGGUCCGUAGCGAUUCUGACGUGCAAAUCGAUCGUCGGAACUGGGUAUAGGGGCGAAAGACUAAUCGAACCAUCUAGUAGCUGGUUCCCUCCGAAGUUUCCCUCAGGAUAGCUGGCGCUCGYGCCCAACGUGCCGCACCUACCCGGUGCGCGCACGUGUAUCGAGUCUCAUCCGGUAAAGCGAAUGAUUAGAGGCCUUGGGGCCGAAACGACCUCAACCUAUUCUCAAACUUUAAAUGGGUGAGAUCUCUGGCUUGCUCGAACGUUGAAGCCACGAGAUCGGAUCAGAGUGCCAAGUGGGCCACUUUU
rnacentral:rRNA from 1 species